AGAGUUUGAUCCUGGCUCAGAACGAACGCUGGCGGCGUGCCUAACACAUGCAAGUCGAGCGAGAAAAGGGGGGCAACUCCCUGAGUACAGCGGCGCACGGGUGAGUAACACGUAGGUAAUCUCCCCUCGAGCCCGGAAUAACCUACCGAAAGGUGGGCUAAUACCGGAUAUGACCACGGAAGUUUCGGCUUCUGCGGUGAAAGAUGGCCUCUAUUUAUAAGCUAUCACUCAAGGAUGAGCCUGCGUGCCAUUAGCUAGUUGGUGGGGUAAUGGCUCACCAAGGCUAUGAUGGCUAGCUGGUCUGAGAGGAUGGCCAGCCACACUGGGACUGAAACACGGCCCAGACUCCUACGGGAGGCAGCAGUGGGGGAUAUUGCGCAAUGGGCGAAAGCCUGACGCAGCGACGCCGCGUGGGUGAUGAAGGCCUUCGGGUCGUAAAGCCCUGUCGAGGGGGACGAAUCGGCUGCGACCUAACACGUCGUGAUCUUGACGGUACCCUAAGGAAGCACGGCUACCUCGUGCCAGCAGCCGCGGUA
rnacentral:rRNA from 1 species